UACAGAGGUCUCAAGCGUUGUUCGGAUUCAUUGGGCGUAAAGGGUGCGUAGGUGGCGCCGUAAGUCAGGUGUGAAAUUUCGGAGCUUAACUCCGAAACUGCAUUUGAUACUGCGGUGCUUGAGGACUGGAGAGGAGACUGGAAUUUACGGUGUGGCAGUGAAAUGCGUAGAGAUCGUAAGGAAGACCAGUGGCGAAGGCGGGUCUCUGGACAGUUCCUGACACUGAGGCACGAAGGCCAGGGGAGCAAACGGG
rnacentral:rRNA from 1 species